rnacentral:tRNA from 1 species
GCCCCGAUGGCGGAACUGGCAGACGCGCAGCGUUCAGGUCGCUGUUCGAGCAAUCGAGUACAGGUUCGAAUCCUGCUCGGGGCA